UGCAACGGUCGUCGGUGUUGUUGGGUGCGAUGAUCUUCGGCGAUGGCAAUUGGUGGCGACAAUCGGGAAUCGCUAGAGGCGUGCAACUGUUGUGUGUUUUCUUUGUCUGAUGUGUCUCAUACUGACGAAACCUUUAAUUAGGUUAAAGUGUACUGUUAAAUAAGCAAACAAAACUGCAAAAAUGGACAGCCAGUGAUAGAGGCGCAUACUUAGAGGUGGAGGGAAAGCCGGUGAUAUAGGCGCUGCAAAUUAAAGGGUGGCGACGACCAAAAUUUGGUGAUGGAGGAGAAUAGGGUGGUAGGGGGAAAGAAUGGAUGGCCUAAGACGCGUUCUUCUAGGGCAAUAAAAGAUAGGAGGGGGAGGGAGAUCGAGAUAGGCAUGGGUACGAAAUCAAGAGGC
rnacentral:lncRNA from 1 species